AGAGUUUGAUCCUGGCUCAGAACGAACGCUGGCGGCGUGCUUAACACAUGCAAGUCGAACGUGAAAGCUCUUCGGAGUUAGUAAAGUGGCGCACGGGUGAGUAAUGAAUAGGAACGUACCUGUUAGUAUGGAAUAACUCAUGGAAACGUGAGCUAAUACCGUAUGAGUUCGAAAGAAGAAAGGGGGCUCUCGCAAGAGGCUCUCGCUGACAGAGCGGCCUAUUUCCCAUUAGCUAGUUGGCAGGGUAAAAGCCUACCAAGGCAACGAUGGGUAGCUGGUCUGAGAGGAUGAUCAGCCACACUGGAACUGAGACACGGUCCAGACUCCUACGGGAGGCAGCAGUGGGGAAUCUUGCACAAUGGGCGAAAGCCUGAUGCAGCAACGCCGCGUGAGUGAAGAAGGUCUUCGGAUUGUAAAGCUCUUUCGGCUGGGAAGAAGGGUAUUUGUGUUAAUACCACAGAUAUUUGACGGUACUAGAAGAAGAAGCACUGGCUAAUUCCGUGCCAGCAGCCGCGGUAAUACGGAAGGUGCAAGCGUUGUUCGGAGUGACUGGGCGUAAAGCGCACGUAGGUGGGUUUUUAAGUCGCAUGUGAAAACCCCAGGCUUAACCUGGGACGUGCAUGCGAAACUGAAGAUCUUGAAUGCCCGAGAGGUUAGUGGAAUUCCAGGUGUAGAAGUGAAAUUCGUAGAUAUCUGGAGGAACACCAGAGGCGAAGGCGGCUAACUGGUGGUGCAUUGACACUGAGGUGCGAAAGCGUGGGUAGCAAACAGGAUUAGAUACCCUGGUAGUCCACGCCGUAAACUAUGGAUACUAGGUGUUUGGGGAAUUAACCCCCUGAGUACUAAAGCUAACGCAUUAAGUAUCCCGCCUGGGGAGUACGGUCGCAAGGCUAAAACUCAAAGGAAUUGACGGGGGCCCGCACAAGCGGUGGAGUAUGUGGUUUAAUUCGAAGCAACGCGCAGAACCUUACCUACCCUUAACAUCCCGUGCUACUGGCAGAGAUGUCAGGUUCCCUUCGGGGACGCGGAGAUAGGUGCUGCAUGGCUGUCGUCAGCUCGUGUCGUAAGAUGUCUGGUUAAGUCCAAUAACGAGCGCAACCCUUAUCUUUAGUUGCCAUCAUUAAGUUGGGCACUCUAGAGAGACUGCCGGUGUUAAGCCGGAGGAAGGCGGGGAUGAUGUCAAGUCCUCAUGGCCCUUACGGGUAGGGCUACACACGUACUACAAUGGCAGAAACAGACCGUUGCGAAAUCGCGAGAUGGAGCUAACCGGUAAAACACUGUCUCAGUCCGGAUUGAAGUCUGCAACUCGACUUCAUGAAGCUGGAAUCGCUAGUAAUCGCUGAUCAGCAAGCAGCGGUGAAUACGUUCCCGGGCCUUGUACACACCGCCCGUCACACCACGAAAGUGAUUGUAACCAGAAGCAGGUGAGCUAACUGCAAAGAGGCAGCCUACCAAGGUUUUAGUCGCAAUUGGGGUGAAGUCGAAACAAGGUA
rnacentral:rRNA from 1 species